GACGAACUGUCCAAACGUUGUUCGGAAUCACUGGGCUUAAAGGGUGCGUAGGCGGUCAAACAAGUCAGGGGUGAAAUCCUGCAGCUCAACUGUAGAAGUGCCUCUGAUACUGUUUGCCUAGAGGGAGAUAGGGGUGUGCGGAACUUCCAGUGGAGCGGUGAAAUGCGUUGAUAUUGGAAGGAACGCCGGAGGCGAAAGCGGCGCACUGGAUCUCUUCUGACGCUGAGGCGCGAAAGCUAGGGGAGCAAACGGG
rnacentral:rRNA from 1 species